rnacentral:rRNA from 1 species
GAUGAACGCUGACAGAAUGCUUAACACAUGCAAGUCAACUGUGGCGGACGUGUGAGUAACGCGUAAAGAACUUGCCUCACAGAUAGGGACAACAUUUGGAAACGAAUGCUAAUACCUGAUACUGUGAGAGAGCUUUGCGUCCCAUUGGCUCGUGGGAGAGGUAACGGCUCACCAAGGCGAGGAUGUGCAGCCGGCCUGAGAGGGUGAUCGGCCACAAGUGUACUCGGGCACGGCACUUGCCCCUUCGGGCGGCAGCAGUGAGGAAUAUUGGACAAUAGACCAAAGUCUGAUCCAGCAAUUCUGGGUGCACAAUGAAUUUUUCGGGAUGAAAAGAGCUUUCAGUUGAAAAGCAUUACCAGCAGAAGAAGUGACGGCUAAAUACGUGCCAGCAGCCGCGGUAAUAC